rnacentral:rRNA from 1 species
AGUCAUUGUAGCAAUACAAGGCAGACGGCUCAUUAACGCGUAGUCAACCUAACCUAUGGACGGGAAUAACCUCGGGAAACUGAGAAUAAUGCCCGAUAGAACACUAUGCCUGGAAUGGUUUGUGUUCCAAAUGAUUUAUCGCCGUAGGAUGGGACUGCGGCCUAUCAGUUUGUUGGUGAGGUAAUGGCCCACCAAGACUAUUACAGGUACGGGCUCUGAGAGGAGUAGCCCGGAGAUGGGUGCUGAGACACGGACCCAGGCCCUAUGGGGCGCAGCAGGCGAGAAAACUUUGCAAUGUGCGAAAGCACGACAAGGUUAAUCCGAGUGGUUUGUGCUAAACAGACCUUUUGUUAGUCCUAGAAACACUAACGAAUAAGGGGUGGGCAAGUUCUGGUGUCAGCCGCCGCGGUAAAACCAGCACCUCAAGUGGUCAGGAUGAUUAUUGGGCCUAAAGCAUCCGUAGCCGGAUCUGUAAGUUUUCGGUUAAAUCUGUACGCUCAACGUACAGGCUGCCGGGAAUACUGCAGAUCUAGGGAGUGGGAGAGGUAGACGGUACUCGGUAGGAAGGGGUAAAAUCCUUUGAUCUAUUGAUGACCACCUGUGGCGAAGGCGGUCUACCAGAACACGUCCGACGGUGAGGGAUGAAAGCUGGGGGAGCAAACCGGAUUAGAUACCCGGGUAGUCCCAGCUGUAAACUAUGCAAACUCAGUGAUGCAUUGACUUGUGGUCAAUGCAAUGCUGCAGGGAAGCCGUUAAGUUUGCCGCCUGGGAAGUACGUACGCAAGUAUGAAACUUAAACG